GUUCGUCUAGAGGCCUAGGACACCGCCCUUUCACGGCGGCAACACGGGUUCGAAUCCCGUACGGGACGCCA
rnacentral:tRNA from 1 species